rnacentral:rRNA from 1 species
UACGAAGGGGGCUAGCGUUGUUCGGAAUCACUGGGCGUAAAGCGCACGUAGGCGGAUCUUUAAGUCAGGGGUGAAAUCCUGGAGCUCAACUCCAGAACUGCCUUUGAUACUGGGGAUCUCGAGUCCGGGAGAGGUGAGUGGAACUGCGAGUGUAGAGGUGAAAUUCGUAGAUAUUCGCAAGAACACCAGUGGCGAAGGCGGCUCACUGGCCCGGUUCUGACGCUGAGGCGCGAAAGCGUGGGGAGCAAACAGG